UCCCGAAUAACUGGGACUACAGGUGUCCACCACUACGCCCGGCUAAUUUUUGUAUUUUUAGUAGAGAUGGGGUUUCACCAUGUUGGCCAGGCUGGUCUCAAACUUCUGACCUCAGGUGAUCCACGCAACUCGGCCUCCCCAAGUGCUGGGAUGACAGGCGUGAGCCAUCCCUCCUAGCCAGGAAUUGCAAUUUUAGGUGAAAUUUGCUUCCUGUUGCCCUCGGGGCACUGUGGCCCUGUUUGCUGGUGCCUUCCUGCUCCUUCACUCGCCUUCGGGGCGCUGUGGCCCUGUUUGCUGGUGCCUUCCUGCUCCUUCACUCGCCUUCGGGGCGCUGUGGCCCUGUUUGCUGGUGCCUUCCUGCUCCUUCUUCACUUGCCUUCGGGGCACUGUGGGUCUGUUUGCUAGUGCCUUCCUGCCUCUUCGCUUGCCUUCGGGGCACUGUGGCCCUGUUUGCUGGUGCCUUCCUGCUCCUUCACUCGCCUUCGGGGCGCUGUGGCCCUGUUUGCUGGUGCCUUCCUGCUCCUUCACUCGCCUUCGGGGCACUGUGGCCCUGUUUGCUGGUGCCUUCCUGCCCCUUCGCUCGCCUUCGGGGCACUGUGGCCCUGUUUGCUGGUGCCUUCCUGCCCCUUCGCUCGCCUUCGGGGCACUGUGGCCCUGUUUGCUGGUGCCUUCCUGCCCCUUCGCUCGCCUUCGGGGCACUGUGGCCCUGUUUGCUGGUGCCUUCCUGCCUCUUCGCUUGCCUUCGGGGCACUGUGGCCCUGUUUGCUGGUGCCUUCCUGCCUCUUCGCUUGCCUUCGGGGCACUGUGGCCCUGUUUGCUGGUGCCUUCCUGCUCCUUCUUCACUUGCCUUCGGGGCACUGUGGCCCUGUUUGCUGGUGCCUUCCUGCCCCUUCGCUCGCCUUCGGGGCACUGUGGCCCUGUUUGCUGGUGCCUUCCUGCCCCUUCGCUCGCCUUCGGGGCACUGUGGCCCUGUUUGCUGGUGCCUUCCUGCUCCUUCUUCACUUGCCUUCGGGGCACUGUGGCCCUGUUUGCUGGUGCCUUCCUGCCCCUUCGCUCGCCUUCGGGGCACUGUGGCCCUGUUUGCUGGUGCCUUCCUGCCUCUUCGCUUGCCUUCGGGGCACUGUGGCCCUGUUUGCUGGUGCCUUCCUGCUCCUUCUUCACUUGCCUUCGGGGCACUGUGGCCCUGUUUGCUGGUGCCUUCCUGCCCCUUCGCUCGCCUUCGGGGCACUGUGGCCCUGUUUGCUGGUGCCUUCCUGCCCCUUCGCUCGCCUUCGGGGCACUGUGGCCCUGUUUGCUGGUGCCUUCCUGCCCCUUCGCUCGCUGUGCUGCAAUGUGGGCAUGUUCUGUGGGUUUGUCUUCAAGUCCAUUGACCUUUUCUUUUGCCUUUGAGGUCUUUUUUGUUUG
rnacentral:lncRNA from 1 species